rnacentral:rRNA from 1 species
UACGUAGGGCGCAAGCGUUAUCCGGAAUUAUUGGGCGUAAAGAGCUCGUAGGCGGUUUGUCGCGUCUGCCGUGAAAGUCCGGGGCUCAACUCCGGAUCUGCGGUGGGUACGGGCAGACUAGAGUGAUGUAGGGGAGACUGGAAUUCCUGGUGUAGGCGGUGAAAAUGCGCAGAUAUCAGGAGGAACACCGAUGGCGAAGGCAGGUCUCCUGGCAUUAACUGACGCUGGAGGAGCGAAAGCAUGGGGAGCGAACAGG